rnacentral:tRNA from 1 species
GCUUGGCUAGCUCAGUUGACAAAGCAUGAGACUCUUUAUCACAAGGUUGUGGGUUCAAGCCCCAUGUUCAAGCC